rnacentral:pre_miRNA from 1 species
UAUGACACUGGGACGGUUAGGAACCGAGUGUUUCCUAAACGCAGCAGUGUCGUAAA